rnacentral:misc_RNA from 1 species
AGAGCAUUUGUUCCAGCAGUAUUGCUUGGAGAAGCAGAACCAAAGUUGAGUGAACAACUUGCGAAAGUGCAAGAUCAUUCAAUUGAUUCAACACCCGAUGCAGAUGAAACUCAGACUGCUGCACAAGAGAUUGCUGAUGCUGUAGCUGUACAGGAGGACAGAAAUGAUAUAGGCAAGGAUAAAGAUGAGAAGGAUAAAGAGAAGACCAAGGAAAAAUCAAAAGAAAAGGAUAAAGAUGAAAAGGAUAAAGAGCCUGAUAAGGAAAAAACAAGAGAAAAGGAAGCUGAAAGAAAAGGAGAAGGUGAUAAGGAGAAAGCAAAAGGUGUUGAAGGAACUAAUUUGGAUAGUCUGCUUCAGCGGCUACCUGGUUGUGUUAGCCGUGAUUUGAUUGACCAGUUGACUGUGGAGUUUUGCUAUUUGAAUUCCAAGUCCAGUAGGAAAAAACUUGUUAGGGCAUUGUUCAAUGUCCCCAGGACAUCACUAGAGUUGUUGCCAUACUACUCUCGCAUGGUUGCCACUCUGUCAACUUGCAUGAAGGAUGUGUCUUCUAUGCUUUUACAGUUGUUGGAAGAGGAGUUCAACUUUUUGAUAAAUAAGAAGGAUCAAAUGAAUAUAGAAACAAAAAUAAGGAAUAUUCGUUUUAUUGGAGAGCUCUGCAAAUUUCGAAUUGCUCCACCUGGCCUUGUUUUCAGUUGUCUGAAGGCUUGUUUAGAUGAUUUCAGUCAUCACAAUAUUGAUGUUGCUUGCAAUCUUCUCGAGACAUGUGGGCGUUUUCUCUACCGAUCUCCUGAAACUACAAUACGCAUGGCAAACAUGUUAGAAAUAUUGAUGCGUCUGAAGAAUGUUAAAAAUUUGGAUCCUCGCCACAUCACCUUAGUGGAGAAUGCAUAUUACUUAUGCAAGCCACCAGAAAGAUCUGCACGAGUGUCUAAA